CAAGUCGAACGGUAGCACAGAGGAGCUUGCUCCUUGGGUGACGAGUGGCGGACGGGUGAGUAAUGUCUGGGAAACUGCCCGAUGGAGUGGGGAUAACUACCUGGAAACGGUAGCUAAUACCGCAUAACGUCGCAAGACCAAAGAGGGGGACCUUCGGGCCUCUUGCCAUCGGAUGUGCCCAGAUGGGAUUAGCUAGUAGGUGGGGUAACGGCUCACCUAGGCGACGAUCCCUAGCUGGUCUGAGAGGAUGACCAGCCACACUGGAACUGAGACACGGUCCAGACUCCUACGGGAGGCAGCAGUGGGGAAUAUUGCACAAUGGGCGCAAGCCUGAUGCAGCCAUGCCGCGUGUAUGAAGAAGGCCUUCGGGUUGUAAAGUACUUUCAGCGAGGAGGAAGGCGUCGUGGUUAAUAACCGCAACGAUUGACG
rnacentral:rRNA from 1 species